CGGACAGAUGGGAGCUUGCUCCCUGAUGUUAGCGGCGGACGGGUGAGUAACACGUGGGUAACCUGCCUGUAAGACUGGGAUAACUCCGGGAAACCGGGGCUAAUACCGGAUGGUUGUUUGAACCGCAUGGUUCAAACAUAAAAGGUGGCUUCGGCUACCACUUACAGAUGGACCCGCGGCGCAUUAGCUAGUUGGUGAGGUAAUGGCUCACCAAGGCAACGAUGCGUAGCCGACCUGAGAGGGUGAUCGGCCACACUGGGACUGAGACACGGCCCAGACUCCUACGGGAGGCAGCAGUAGGGAAUCUUCCGCAAUGGACGAAAGUCUGACGGAGCAACGCCGCGUGAGUGAUGAAGGUUUUCGGAUCGUAAAGCUCUGUUGUUAGGGAAGAACAAGUACCGUUCGAAUAGGGCGGUACCUUGACGGUACCUAACCAGAAAGCCACGGCUAACUACGUGCCAGCAGCCGCGGUAAUACGUAGGUGGCAAGCGUUGUCCGGAAUUAUUGGGCGUAAAGGGCUCGCAGGCGGUUUCUUAAGUCUGAUGUGAAAGCCCCCGGCUCAACCGGGGAGGGUCAUUGGAAACUGGGGAACUUGAGUGCAGAAGAGGAGAGUGGAAUUCCACGUGUAACGGUGAAAUGCGUAAAGAUGUG
rnacentral:rRNA from 1 species